GGAACUCACGGAGGAGAGGACCCCCGUUCAGCUGGGGCGCCCAGAUCAGGUGGAGUUUUGCAGCAGGAAGAAGUCUGCUCCAUGAGCCAACCUCCAAGAAUAGAACACCUCAAAGUUCAAUUGGAAAAUGAAGUCAUUGAAGUUAUCGAAGUCAUUGGUGGGCGAUUUUAGGUGACAUUCUGGUAUACUGGGUCCCUGCAGAAAAGAAAAUGCCACCAUGGCUUGUGCUUCUCCCCUGUUGCUGAGAUCUGUGGCUGAAAGGAGAU